AGUUUCUUGGAUAUUUUCAAUCCUCCUCCUUUUGUAUGCACACCUGAAUUAGUGCAUGGGUUAGUGUGUAUCUAAUUUCCUACUGGCUUUGGAAAACCUUGAUGGAUCUUUCAUCACUCAUUAGAUUAGCAAAGUAGCUCACUCACUUGUCUUCCCUUGCUUGGUGCCUACUUUGAGAGAUUGAACACAACUGAUUCCAUACUUGACUUGUGGCAAUCCUGGUGCUGUUUUACCCUACAUUUGUAUCAAUUCUUUCUUCUUUUGAUGCUUGUAAAUCUCAAUACAACUCAACUAAACCUUAAUCAAACUAGUUAUGCUUCAUCUCAAUAUUUGCACUAAAAGUGCAGAUUUAGGAAAUAUAUGCAAACAGUCAAAUACCAGUUUUCAAAUGACUUGGAUAGAUUGCUAUGGGAAGGGCACAAUAGCGGUGAGACGUAGUUGAGUAAAUGCAUGAAUGAAUACUUUCAUUCUGUCUUUAGGACACAGGAAGUUCACCCUUAUGGAUGCAGCAUGCAUUACAUAUUAAUUUGAAUGCAUAGCCAAAAAGACGAGUUUAAUGUAAUUAAUGCAGGUUGAACAAAAGCU
rnacentral:misc_RNA from 1 species